UCAAAAUGCAUCGAGCAGCAUACCGGCAGAUGAGAUGGACUGGACCACUGUUGCUAUGGUGCUGAAACAGGUGCUAUAAAAGAUAAGGAUCUGAGUCCAGAGGAACUGGAAGAGGACAUCAGCAGGGUCAGUGUUGCUGGAAGAAGUGGAUGGAGAAGAUUAAAAGCAGCCUGAUUCCACUGAACUUUGUGAAGAAUUGUGCCUCCCUCCAGCUGCAGCACAACUAUCAAUCCUUUGAAGGUCACUACAUGGAUGUGUACUGAAAAGAUUAGGAAGAAAAGAAAGACUAUUGGGGUUGUCAAACCAAUCAUCCGAGCCAGAGGAGACAGCGAGGCCCACUCCUUUGGGAAGAAUGUCAUCUCUUCGCAGGCAGCUUUACACCAAAGGCUCAAGGCUUUGGCAGCCUGCUUUAACAUCUUGACACAACUCAGCCAGCUAAUGAACAGCAUUAGAGGCCCAUGGGCCAGGACAUACAAACUCAUGGACAAACAUACA